GAUGAACGCUCGCGGCAGGCCUAAUACAUGCAAGUCGAACGAGAUUAAGAGGCUUGCUUCUUAUGAAAGUGGCGCACGGGUGCGUAACGCGUAUGCAACCUACCUUAAUCAGGGGGAUAGCCCGAAGAAAUUCGGAUUAAGACCGCAUAAAAACACAGGAUAGCAUUAUCCAAUGUUCAAAUAUUUAUAGGAUUAAGAUGGGCAUGCGUGUCAUUAGCUAGUUGGCGGGGUAACGGCCCACCAAGGCGACGAUGACUAGGGGAUCUGAGAGGAUGACCCCCCACACUGGUACUGAGACACGGACCAGACUCCUACGGGAGGCAGCAGUAAGGAAUAUUGGUCAAUGGAGGGAACUCUGAACCAGCCAUGCCGCGUGCAGGAAGACAGCCCUCUGGGUCGUAAACUGCUUUUAGUCGGGAAUAAACCUUUCUACGUGUAGGAAGCCGAAUGUACCGAAGGAAUAAGGAUCGGCUAACUCCGUG
rnacentral:rRNA from 1 species